GCGCGCGGGAGAGAGAGAGAGAGAGGGGGGCGAACUCCCGGAUCCUCCCCUNGCCGCCUACUCACUUCCCUCCGGAAUACGCUUCCCGUCCAGCCGCGGGGACACCACGCAAUGGAAGAGGGAUGCGAUGUAUGAUCUUUGACUGUCUCUUGCCAUUGAAGUGAUCAAAUGGCACGGAAUUGAUAUCGUUGUCAAAAUGAAAAGAUUCGUCUAUAUCAAUGAUGAUUCAUGGCAGGAUUCCUAUUGUGACAAUCGAAUAUCAAAUACCAAAUAUAAUCUCUGGAAUUUUCUCCCUAAGAACUUAUGGGAGCAAUUCAGGCGUUUCAUGAAUCAGUAUUUUCUUCUAAUCGCCUGCCUUCAGUUAUGGUCAAGUAUCACACCUGUUAGUCCUGCAACUACAUGGGGUCCACUUGCCAUCAUCUUCAUAGUUUCAGCUUCAAAAGAGGCUUGGGAUGAUUACAAUAGGUACCUUUCAGACAAGAAAGCAAACGGAAGGGAAGUUUUGGUGGUAAAGGAUGGCAACCAUAGACAGAUCAAAGCACAAGAUAUCCAUGUUGGAAAUAUAGUGUGGCUUUAUCAGAAUGAUGAGAUACCAUGUGAUCUUGUUCUUAUAGGAACUUCUGAUCCUCAGGGCAUCUGUUAUGUUGAGACAGCUGCUUUAGAUGGUGAAACUGACUUGAAAACAAGAAUUGUUCCUUCUAUCUGUGCUAACCUUUCUCCAGAUCAAUUAGGCAGAGUCAAGGGUGUAGUUGAGUGCUCCAACCCAGAUAAUGACAUAAGAAGAUUUGACGCUAACAUGCGCUUGUUUCCUCCUAUCAUUGAUAGUGAAAAAUGUCCUUUAACUAUCAAUAAUACUCUUCUUCAAUCAUGUUACUUAAGGUACACAGAAUGGGCGUGUGGAGUUGCAGUUUACACAGGCAAUCAAACAAAAUCUGGAAUGAGCAGGGGAACCGCAGAGCCCAAGCUCACUGCUGCUGAUGCAAUGAUAGACAAACUCACUGUUGCAAUAUUUAUGUUCCAAAUUGUUGUUGUUCUUGUUCUGGGUUUUGCUGGCAAUAUCUGGAAGAAGAACCAGGGUCUUAAGCAAUGGUAUCUGCUGUAUCCUGUGGAAGGACCAUGGUAUGAUUUCUUGAUUAUACCAUUGCGCUUUGAGCUAUUGUGUUCAAUAAUGAUUCCUAUUUCAGUGAAGGUAACUCUUGAUCUGUCUAAAGGUGUAUAUGCAAAGUUCAUUGACUGGGAUGAACAAAUGUUUGAUCGGGAAACAUGUACGCCUGCUCAUUCAGCUAACACAGCUAUUAGUGAAGACCUUGGACAGGUUGAGUACGUUUUGAGUGACAAAACUGGAACGCUGACAGAAAACAGAAUGAUUUUCAGAAGAUGUUGCAUAAGUGAUAUUCUGUAUGGAGAAAACAAUGAAGAUGCUUUAAAAGAUGCCAGACUUCUAGAUGCUGUUUCGCGUAACGAUCCUGAUAUUGUCAAAUUUCUCAUGGUGAUGGCUCUUUGCAAUACAGUUGUUCCUAUCAAAAGCAAUGAUGGUACUAUAACAUACCAAGCACAAUCACAAGACGAGGAAGCUUUGGUCACUGCUGCAUCAAAACUAAAUAUGGUGCUUGUGAGUAAAGACAGCAACACUGCUGAGAUUUCUUUCAACGGUUCUAAGUUCUAUUAUGAUUUGUUGGAUAUUUUGGAGUUUACUUCCGAUCGCAAAAGAAUGUCUGCUGUGGUAAAGGAUGUCCAGAGUGGGAAGAUCCUUCUUCUUUCUAAAGGAGCUGAUGAAGCUAUUCUUCCUCGUUGCCAUCAAGGACAGCAAAUUAGAACCUAUCUUGAGACAGUAGAAAUGUAUUCUCAGUUGGGCUUGCGAACAUUAUGUUUGGGAUGGCGUGAAUUAGAAGAAGAUGAAUACAAAGAUUGGUCCAAAACAUUUCAAGAUGCUAGCUGCUCCUUGGAGAACAGGGAGCGUAAAAUUGCCGAAGUAUGUCACCGUUUAGAGCAAGAUCUUCAAAUUCUUGGUGUUAGUGCCAUAGAAGACCGUCUCCAGGAUGGUGUGCCGGAAACCAUUAAAUUGCUAAAGAGUGCCGGAAUCAAUGUGUGGAUGCUAACUGGUGAUAAGCAACACACAGCAAUUCAGAUUGGACUUCUUUGUAAUCUCAUAGCACCUGAGCCGAAUGGUCAAUUGUUGUCUAUCAAUGGAAAAACUGAACACGAUGUAUUAAGAAGCUUAGAGAGGGCAUUGUCAACAAUGAAGUCUAUGUCGGUAACAAAGGAUUGUGCAUUUGUUUUGGAUGGAUGGGCACUUGAAAUAAUUCUAAAGCAUUCCAAGGAGUCCUUCACUAAGCUGGCCAUGUUGUCAAGAACAGCGAUAUGCUGUCGAAUGACACCCUUGCAGAAAGCACAGCUUGUUGGGCUCCUGAAAUCUGUCGGUUACCUAACUCUAGCAAUUGGUGAUGGUGGUAAUGAUGUAAGAAUGAUUCAAGAGGCAAACAUUGGAGUUGGGAUUAGUGGUAGGGAAGGGCUACAAGCUGCAAGGGCUGCUGAUUAUAGCAUUGGAAAAUUCAAGUUUCUCAAAAGGUUGAUACUUGUCCAUGGUCGAUAUUCAUACAAUCGUACGGCAUUUAUUUCACAGUACUCCUUCUACAAGUCACUCUUGAUAUGCUUUAUACAGAUUCUUUUCUCCUUUAUAUCAGGACUCUCUGGAACUAGCUUGUUCAACUCAAUUAGUCUGAUGGCCUAUAAUGUUUUCUAUACAAGUCUUCCUGUGACGACUAUAAUUUUUGACAAGGAUAUCUCUGAGGAAACAGUACUGCAAUAUCCCCAGAUUUUACUCUAUUCUCAGUCUGGAAGGCUUUUGAAUCCAACUACAUUUGCUGGAUGGUUUGGACGAUCGGUUUACCAUAUUAAGCAUUUUAACUGGUGCCAACGUGGUGAUGGAAUCUGCCAUGUAUGAUGUUCCUAAUUAAUCAAUACCGGCAAAAUGGCAAAAUCAAACCGAACCAAGCACUUGUUGUAUUCUUAACUACAAUCUGUGCAUAUUCUGAUGAAAAAAGUGAGAUUGAGGAACUCUCCAUGGUUGCGCUAUCUGGAUGCAUUUGGUUGCAGGCUUUUGUUGUGACACUGGACACAAACUCAUUCACUUAUCCGCAAAUCAUUCUCAUAUGGGGAAACUUUAUCGCCUUCUACAUGAUCAACUUAAUAGUCAGUGCGGUACCAACACUCCAAAUGUAUACUAUAAUGUUCCGCCUGUGUAGCCAACCUUCGUACUGGAUAACCAUGGGUCUGAUUGUUGCGGUAGGAAUGGGCCCGGUGCUGGCUUUGAGAUACUUCAGGAACAUGUUUCGACCUAAUGCCAUCAACAUACUUCAGCAAAUCGAGCAAUCCAAUGGACAUACCCAUACCACCAGAAAUAUGGAGUCACGGAUCAUAUCUGCUGGCAGUUAUCUCACCCAUUUACUAGCCGAUUCGCGUCGCAACAGGGGCGCUACCUAUCAGCCUCUUCUUUCAGAUUCUGUAGCAUCUGACGGAUGAUCUGCUGCACCUAUCAGCAUCAGACCUUGGCAGCUUGCGUUAACUGUAUCUCUUACCAGUGCAAUAUGCUAGCAUGCACACCCAUAGUCUCUAACAGCAAUAGGAUUUACUGAUCACACAAAAUUCUGAGAGUCAAAGCACAGAAGAAAGUUUCGCAGGUUCAUUGCAAAAAUGCUGCAAUGCCUGGAAUUCAGGAAAAAAAAUACAUGUGUUCCAAAUUAUCCCAGAUGUAUAGUUUUGCUGUUAAAACAGAAGUAUAUAUGGCUGUUUUGGUUUGAUGGCAA